UACGGCCACAUCACAUUGAAAUCGGUUCUCGUACGAUCACCGAAGAUAAGCAACUUCGAUCCUGGUCAGUACCUAGAUGGGUGACAUGUUGGGAAUGCCAGGUGUCGUCAG